rnacentral:lncRNA from 1 species
CGUAUGCAAUUAAAUAAAUAAAAAUGCACACAUUAAUGUACAUAUAUUAUUAUUAAGUCCAGAACAGCAUCAAAGUGUAGAAGUCACAUGAAAGAAGACAGAUAUAAAUACAAGUUUGGUAAUAAAAAUCACUCAAAACAACUUAACAAACACAGAUAAACCGUACUACUUAUUCAACUUCAGAACAGCACCAAGUUUUGCCAAGUACGUACAAGUAUAUAUAACAUGACGACAGUGCCAUCCAUAUAUAUAUAUAUAUAUAUACUUCCCAACUACUCUUUGAUCUGGUUUUUAGCACAGAGUACGUAUCUCUCGACAUGCAGCAUCACGUUCAAAUGCUGGGCUUCACGUUGAGGCGAGACGCUAUUUUCUGACCUAGAGACUUGUCAGCCUACAUGGACCACAACAUUACCAUCAUACUAGUAUUAGAUUAUUUUCAUUAAUACUACCUACUCUUCACCUAAUUGUUCCCGCUAAUAAAAUCUUUUACUAUUAUAAUUCAUUCCUAGUUGAAAAGGGUUGGAAUCAGAUUUACCUGACUCCAGUAUGACACCCAUAUGCUGCGGAUCUCAUAGGUAAUACGCGGAUCCGAUAAACCAGUAACCACCCGAUUGAUAAAUCGCUCUUGCCUGGAACAAAUAAUUAACAAAACCAAUAAAGCCUAAGUAGUUAUUUUAUUAUGAAAAGGGAGCUGAUAUUUCAUUCCACAGUUAUACAUUUUCUUUAAAAAAUCCACUUUCGCACUGGAGUUGUUAAAUGAUCGCUGGAAAUAUCAUUCCAACAUUUAUAAAUGAAAUGGUACUUGCAUGCGUACCUGUCUGGCGCAAAAGUCCGGUAUCUGUCUCCUGCCUGCUUGAAGUUGUUCUCUUUGUCAAUUACAGACUGCAUUAACAACCAACAAGCUAUUAUCAUGUAUAUAUCUAGGUCAUCUAGCUAGCUAGCGUAAACAAAUUAUUGCAUAUUGCCUUCAUUUGUUAAAGAGAUAUCUAUCUAUUCUAUUACCAUUCAAACAAAAUUCUGUAUUUGAUUGAUCAACUCCACCUUUUUGGAAAUUAAAUUCUAUGCCAUUAAAGGAAUGCCAACAUAUAUUAUGAAAAACUCACCCUAGUUCGCCUUCCCAUCAACACGCGUGGAGGAAGGGGGUGCUUCUCAGCAUGGACCACAGGAUCAAACCUAGAAGGGAAGUAAUUGACCUGGAAGAGUGCACUUGUGUGAUUAAUAUAUAUGGAGAACACAAAAGCAUGCCUAAAGAAAUUAAUUAUCAAAAGUGGGCUAUUUAGAAAGCAAGAGAUCAUUAAGAAGCUUAAAAACUCUACUCUUUUUCACCUCCUCAUCCCUGUGCAAAAAAUUCAUUGAGCCUUCAUGGUGAUUGUUGUGAUGAGCGCACUUGGGAGCAUUAGCUGGAAGCAGCAAAUAGUUUGGUCCCAGACGGUGCCUCUGAGUAUCACCAUAAGCGAAUACCCGACCCUGGAGAAACUUAUCAUCCGAAUACCAGACACCAGGAACAACAUGAGCAGGGUUGAAAGCAAGCAUUUCAUUUUCUGCAAAAAAGUUAUCAAUAUUCCUAUUCAACACCAAGCGGCCCACUGGCUGCAGGGGAAAGAUGUCCUCAGGCCAGGUCUUGGUUACAUCGAGUGGGUCAAAGUCAAAUUUGUCCUCGUGAUCGGGGUCCAUAAUCUGGAUAAAAAGCUUCCACUCAGGAUAAUUGCCAGCUGCAAUUGAGUCAUAGAGAUCUUGGGUGGCAUGGCUGUGAUUAGAUCCUCCAAUUUUGAUGGCUUCUUCCUCCAACAAGUUUUUGACUCCGCAGGUAGGUCUCCAGUGAAACUUGACAUAGGUUGCUUUCCCAGCCUUGUUAAGAAGAGUGAAGGUGUGAACCCCGGAGCCAUCCAUGUGCCUGUAAUCUUGUGGAACACCUAUGUCAUCAUAGAAGAAUGUGAAGGUGUGCAAACUCUCUGGGUGGUGGGAUAAGUAGUCAAAGAUUCUCCAGUUCUCUUGAAUGUGAGACUUGGGAUUGGGUUUAAAAGCACGAAUCACGUCUGGGAAUUUCAUUGCAUCCCGGACAAAGAAGAUUGGGAAAUUGUUUCCCACCAGAUCAAA